rnacentral:siRNA from 1 species
AUGAAUGCUCUUCUAAGUGGUUGU